GAGAACAUACAGCACUCCCAUGAGUCAGGGAAGAGGGAGAGCUGGGUUUCAAGGUUUCCAAGAAUGCAAGCCUUUAUUGUGUGUGCACCGGCUGCAAUGCAUUCUGGGAUCUACUGUCCAGACUGUCCCACCAUAACCAAAAUGUGCAAAUUACUAAAGGGGAGAGGGAGGUUAAAAAAUAAACUUGUGUCUUCGUAAGACAGAACUGUCAGGCUUUUUGGUCAGUUAGUAGCCAGUGAGGUAUGCAAUUCUUUUCUGCAACUGCUGCUGCCGGCAUCGGAGCUGUCUUUUCUCUGUAGCCAUCCUCUUCUCAGCCCCCACCAGGGCUUGCAAGUAUUCCAAGGCCUUGCUUAGGAUCACUACUUUGGGGGCCUUGGAGCAGCUGGCCAGGGUGGGCACCUGGUCCCUCAGCGCCAAGAAUCGCGAACGCAGGUCAUUCCGCCUCUUGCGCUCCAGGAAGUUGUGAUUCUUCCUCUUGGUCACAUCCUCAGUAUCAGAACUGACAGGUUUGGGGUGGCAGGACUGGGCAGCCUCACUUUCUACAGGUGGGGGACUCACAAUCUCUUCAUCCUCCUCAUCUUCCUUUUCCCCUGCAGCAUCUCUCUCCAGAACCUCUUCUUGGGGACCCCUCUCUGAAGCCUCUUCUUGGGAGCAGCUUUCUGGAGGAAAACGGGCAGCAUAGUUGUGCUGUUGCUGAUGGAUGGAGAUGUGGAAAUGCUUCAUGCAGGGAUCCAGGGGGUCUGCUCGCACCGUGAUGGUGACCGGCUUCCGAAUACCCAGAGACUGCCUCUUCUCUACUGUCACAACAUCAAUUUCUUCAUUCUCUGUCCGAGAAAAGAGAUCAAGAGAAGAAACACAUCCCAUGAGAAACACAAACAUAGACCCUACAGCUUUAGCUGUCUACGCUGGUGCUUGGGAAGGUCGCCUGCCCCACCUCCUUCCCUGGACUAGAAGGUUAGAUUUGUAAUCAUAGGUCGGCGAAGCUGCAGGAACUUCACAAAGGUACAAGCGACCAUUUCCAAACUACCUGCACCAGAGGCAGAGACUGGGCAGCAGAAUGUCCCAGAUAUGGGGCUCAUAACACCAGAGACCUGGAGACACCUGGACACGCCC
rnacentral:lncRNA from 1 species